AAGUACAAAUUACGGUUUGCUAGGCGUUAGGUGUUAGGCAUCGGGCGAUAGGCGGCGCGGCUAACCAUUCUCUUCCAGGUACAAACUAACCUUCUCUUCCAGGUACAUGUUAAUUAUCUAGUCUUCCCCAGUAAUGCCCUGGUUAGCGCACCUUGGCGGCGAUCCAGGAGCCUCGUGCUGGUGGUGGUGGUGGCGGCGUGGCAGGCUGGCAGGCUGGCUGUGGCGGGCGUGCACAUGCUAUCAUAUAGUAUGGAUGGAAGUAUGCAAACCUCGCAAUGAAGAUGGAAAAGUAACAUGAACAAGGUUGUGAAUGUUCGGGUGUGGUGUGGAUGAGCAAGCCAGCGAGCAAGCUGGCAUGAGGAGCCGAGCGGGGGAGGCAGCUCAGCAUGUGUAGGCUAUGUGAGGCUAGCCAAGAUGUAUGAAUAUUGUACUGUACUUAUGCUAUGGAAUGGUUUUGUUACUGUAAAGCAUAUUUAAGAAAAAUAAAAAUAUGGCUGAUUUCCUUGUGUAUAAGUUUCCGGUGUAUGCGAGUGUGUGUAACUGUGUAUGGCGUGUGGAUGGUUGAGCGAGGGUGUGGGUGCAGGCUGCAGACUGAGGCACAUGACGUGGAGCCUGUGGUGACCGGUGACUGGUUCACUCUGGUAUUUACACGACUGCCGAGGGAAUAAUACAUAAAGUUCAGUCUUAGGCGCUCACGAGGGAAUAUACUUUAGCACUCCCGAGAGAAUAUACAUACUGUAAGGUUCAGUCUAGCCAAGUUAGUUAUUAAAGAUCUAAUCGGACACCGGAAUUCUGUUUCAAGGUAAGAAGGACUGCUAAUCAAGUCAUUUUACAUUGUUGUGCUUCAAAACGAUAAAAUUCAUAAAAA